rnacentral:piRNA from 1 species
UGCAAAAAUAGAAAUGACGGC